rnacentral:rRNA from 1 species
AUUGAACGCUGGCGGAAUGCCUUACACAUGCAAGUCGAACGGUAGCGGGCCUUCGGGUGCCGACGAGUGGCGAACGGGUGAGUAAUGCAUCGGAACGUGCCAUUGAGUGGGGGAUAACGUAGCGAAAGUUACGCUAAUACCGCAUAUUCUGUGAGCAGGAAAGCAGGGGACCGCAAGGCCUUGCGCUCUUUGAGCGGCCGAUGUCAGAUUAGCUAGUUGGUGAGGUAAAGGCUUACCAAGGCGACGAUCUGUAGCGGGUCUGAGAGGAUGAUCCGCCACACUGGAACUGAGACACGGUCCAGACUCCUACGGGAGGCAGCAGUGGGGGAAUUUUGGACAAUGGGGCAACCCUGAUCCAGCCAUGCCGCGUGAGUGAAGAAGGCCU